CCGACCAGUGGCGGCCUCUUCCCGGGUUCGCGGUAGGCCCGGGUCGUCGCAGGGAGAGCCCCGCAGCAGCGUCCCCGCCCUGCUCCCCUCGCUCCCGCCUCUCGUGGCCCCGCGGCCCCUCAGCGCCCGCCCCCGGCUCCGCCCGCCGCCGCCCCUGCCCGUGGCGCUAACGGUCGCUAACGGCCCGCGCGCGCCGCCCGCCGGGGGCUCGCGCCAGCCACGAGGGAGCGUCCGCGGCCUGCGCGCCCGCGCGGCGGAGGAGAGGUGAUAAGUGUGAUGCUUCCAUAAUACAUUUGGAUGUUGUCAGCUAAGUUCACUUCUGAACUGAGGGGUUCCUCCACGUUGGCUGAAAUUUGUCCUUGCACAUCCCAAGGCUCAUCUGCAAAUGUGGGGGGGUUCCCACUCUUGAAAAUAUGAAGAAAACAUGUCCUUUCAGCAAUAAUGGAGUCUACAAUUCAUAAUGGAGCUACUGUACUGGCUAUUGGAAGGAGGAGAUUCUGAAGAUAGGGAGAUUCAGCCAUCGGUCUUUGAAAUUUCCUGUGAUGUGUUUCAAUCUAGAUGCAAAGGACAUGGAAAAAUCAAAGUGCUCAAGUGUUUUAAAUAUGUUUUGGAUGUUCCUGUUUAUAGGCUACAAUAUUUUUCCAAUUAAAAUCCUCAGUUGUCAUGUAGCAGGUGGUUCUUCUUGAUUGCCAAUUUUACUGAAAAUGCUUAGUAUUUUAUAGUAUCACUGAAUAUUUUUUGUUUUAGCCAAAGUAUAGGAAAAAGUACAAUAAAAUGUAUAGGUUGAC